AUAGUGACUAGGAAGAGAAUGAUCUUAGCGAAUUUAGAGUUCUCGAGCUUCUCUUUGAUCAUAUGGGCUCUUCUGAGCUGUGUGGUUGGAAGUUCAAGUGUAUAGUUGGAGAGUUCUACAUCUUCUGGUUCUUGGUUUGGAAUUAGUCCCAUUUUCGCAUACCGACAUAUCAGUGAGUACAAUGCAAAUGUUCCUCCUGCGUUUAAAUAUUGUACAUAAGUAACUUUUCUAAUUCCUUGACAAAAAAGUAACUUUUCUAAUUAAUUAAUCAACAAAAAACAAACAUGUAUGUUAUUUUUCGGGGUAAUAAGUUUUAUUGGUUUGUUUACACACAAUGAACUACAUAUCUUUAAACAAAUUUUCAUUUAAUUAAAUCUUCAGUCUCUUUUAUGCCAACUUUUUAUAUUUGUCAUUGGACCUUUCAUAAACACUACAUGGAUAUGACAACUCU
rnacentral:sRNA from 1 species